AUAAAUUUGCUAUAAAAGUAUUACUGAUUAAACUUUAUUUAAGACUGUUUAAAGUAAUGCAAUGCACCCUCUCCACCAGUGAGAGGCAGCAGUGCAAGAACAGGCAUGCAGUGUUGGUGAAGAAGAAAUCUUCCAUUUUGUGGGGCCAACAUAACAAGUUAUAACGGCCAGACCUCAUGUUUUAAAAGAAGCCGACGACACCUAAUACAUAUGAGUCCACAUCCCUCACCGGUUCUGCUUCGGGAGACCCUGGUGGUCCCUCCUCGAACUUGCAGUCUGUUAUGACCUUAGAGAGAGACGGUGCCGGGGAGGAGGGGGUAGCAGAUGAGGAAGAGGAGCAGGAAGCACUGUGAUGGAGAGGUGACAAAGUUGGCUGUGCAGUCGGACCACCACCUCAUGGUCUUUUCCAUCUGGGCUGCCCUGGCCCGAGCUUCCUCCAGCUCCCUGAGCCUCAACUCCUC